rnacentral:lncRNA from 1 species
CACAGCUCAUAUCAUCUAAAAUAAGCAAGUCUAGUUACAGUCGAAGUUAUAUUUAUUCUUUUAAAUCUCUUCUUUUAAAUAUAUAACUAGAUUUUGAUCCGUGCGUCCGCGUGUGUAUAUUUUUUAAAAUAUGAUGCUAUUUAUUUUUAUGUCACUAUUUAGGAUUGAGCAAAAAAAUCGAAUUCGAAGAAUCGAACCGAUCCCAAUCCGAAUAAUCGAACCGAUCCCAAUCCGAAUAAGUAGUACCAACUCCGAACCGAAAUUGAUUAAAUAUCUGAAUUAUUCAAAAUUUUGAUAUUAGAAGAACUGAAACCUAAUCCGAUCCGAACCGAAAUAUUUUGUAUCCAAAAUAGAUUUAUAUACUUAUACAUGUUAAUUUUUUUUAGAUUUAAUAUAUAUAAAA